AGAGACACAUUCAGGGCUCAGCCGGUAGAUGUGCUGAGAAUCUUCGGUAGACAACUGUCGAAGUACGGCGGACAAACUUUAAAGAUUUCCAGAAGUUAAGGAAAGAGAUGCAAAAGCAGAGAAAAGGCGACUUGUCUUUUCAGUGUUGCAUUACUGUGUGGCGUAAAACAUCUUCUAAAAAGCUCCUGUGGCCGGGCACGGUGGCUCACGUCUGUAAUCCCAGCACUUUGGGAGGCCGAAGCGGGCGAAUCACUUGAGGUCAGUAGUUCGAGACCAGCCCGCCCAAAAAGCGAAACCCCCGUCUCUACUAAAAAUACAAAAAAGUCAGCCUGGCAUGGUGGCGGGCGCCUGUAAUCCCAGCUACUCGGGAGGCUGAGGCAGGAGAAUCGCUUGAACCCGAGAGAUGGAGGCUGUAGUGAGCCGAGAUCGCACCGCUGCACUCCAGCCAGGUCAAAAGAGUGAAACUCCAUCUCAAAACAAAAAUAAAAAAGCUCCUGUAGACCCUAGAAUACCACAGAAAAGGUAAUUUUACUGCCUUAGAUGUUCGCCAAGUACAAUCCCAACACCUGGGGGCUUAAUAAAUGCAUGCUUAGUCGGUUUUAUAGAUAUAAAUAACCUUGUGAAGUGUCUUUAUAAAUUUGUUCCCAUCUUCUGGAUUUUUGAAACAAGAGAACAGAUGAGCCAGUACUGAAAUUUCAGUAAUGGAAAAGCACUAUUACAGGUGUACUCUGUGAUGCCUGCUACGUAAUAGCUGGUGAACAACCUUGUGUUUGGUUUUAUCAUUUGCAAAUAACAAAGUUUCCCACCACGUUGUAUAGCUACUUGAUGUAUUUGUGGAUGGAUUCAAAGCUCAUUAAGCAGAAAGUACAUUUUAAAAACAUUGUUACAGAUGACAGAAAAAGUGAGUUGUGGAUCCCUUUCUCACUGCAAAAUACCCAUUCUUUAAUGAUAUGAUUAUAAGAAAGAAGAGGUAGUUUAAUAAGUAAAUAAAAAGAUAGUUAACACAAAAUCAGAGCCAUCUUUUACUCACUGGACAAAUUAUUUAGCCCCUCUGUGCCUCAGUUUCUUCAUCUGUAAAAUGGGGAUACUCCUAGUACCUACCUCUUAGGGUUGUGGGAAACAUUCAGUAAAUAUGUAUGUCUCAGAUAUAUGUAAAUAAGUGAGACUAUUAUAAGUAUUUGUGACUUGUUUGAAAUGUCAAGGUGAUCUAUACAGAAGCAGAGGAUGUCACUCUGAGGAGGUAGGCUCAUUGACUAGAUAUCAUUUACCUUGAUAAUCCAUAGUUUGGUCCUGGCCUUGCAGUCUCAGGAACAGGACCUUAAAAGUUAACGUUUAUUGGCCG
rnacentral:lncRNA from 1 species